GGGGAAGUGGGCCCAAUGCCACGUGUUGUUGAGGAAAGUGGGUAAUUAAAGGUGAUUGAACCGCUUUCUUAUAAACAAAGGCGGACGCGCGCAAUUUUUCAGAACUUGUACACAUCAGCAGGUACCAGAAGCAUCUUCCCCAGGUUGUACAGGCAGCUGGUGACCGAGCUCUUGUGGGUGUGAGGGUCCUUCAGGUUCUCAUCAGGAAUGUUGGCACAAGUCAUGAAGGUCCUUUUGGCCUCUUCCAGGCUGCCCCGGUUCAUCAAGAUGAUGCCCGUGUUCAGGAAGCAGAGGCGAUCCAAGAGAAUGAGGCCUUCAAUGCAGGGCGCAAGAGUCACCUUCAACUGCACACACCAAAGAGUAUUGAUGGUGUCAAACAUUAUUCGCCUACUCACCCCCUGGCCCACUGCAACUCUCUCCAGCGCCUGUUCCAAAGGUCAGGUUGAAACUCCUCAGAGAGCUGAUGGUAGCAGCAUCCCACGCUGCAGACGGCCAGCAGCUCCGCUUUCGCCACAAACAUCCUGAGGGUGCUGGGAGCCAGGUCGCCACACGUGUGCAGGCCCACCAAGACCGCAUCCUAGAAAAGAAGACAAACUAGUAAGACACAAAAGUCCAGCUGACAAAUGUCUGAUUAGCUCACCUCCAGGUCAUCGAUGAGUUCCCUAAGCUCCGUUUCCGCGGUAACGUAUGACGUGAGCGGUGAGAAGACGGCGUCUGUGCUGCUGCUCCUGUUCUGGGCUUUCCUCUCCAGGUUCUCCUUCUUCCUCCUCUCCCUCUCCUCAUCAGUCAGCGACCGAGGAGACGUCCUCCCAGGCUGCAUCACGUCCAAUGACAAGGCGCUGAGGAAGAGCUCCUCCGUGUCCUCUGCAGAGUCUGCCUUCCUGCGUUUGUGGUAGACUUUGGAGAACUUCUUCAACUUCCGGUUUCUCUCCUGGGCGCCGUGCGUGUUGGUGCUGGACGAGUCAAUGCCGAAGACCCUGAGGCCGUGCUGCAGGGACAGGAAGGAGCUCAGCACUUGGCUAAACAGUCCACCAACUCCGACAUGGAUUGGACCUCAUGGGAUUUCUUUGUGUUCAUAAACUCGUCAGGCUCCAACUCAUCCGUGGAAGUAUCGCCCAAUUCAGACAUGUUUCGUCUGAGGACCUCCAGAAGCUCAUUGCGGCUCAUGCAGAGUCCCAGACCAGGAAUUGAGUGGGCCUUUGCUUCUCGCAAAAGUUCAUGGACAUCAACCAGGCGGUUUGUAUCGUGGCAAAACCCAAAUGUGGUCUUGGAUGGCUCUGUUAUAAAGUAAUAUAUUAGAAUGCAGAAUCAGUCAAUGUAAACCUCUAGAGCCGCAUGCAGCUCUUUAGCGCCGCUCUAGUGGCUCCCUGGACCUCUUUCAGACAUGUGUGAAAAUGGAAAAAGAUGAAGAAAAAAAAAUUUUUUUGUUUAAUAUAUUUUCUGUAGUAGAACAAACAUGACACAAACCUUCCUAAAUGUUAGAAAUCCCACUGUUUAUAUUAAGCAUGCUUCACUUUUGUCCCACACAUUUCAGCAAUCCUUGAUCUCAUACAAUUUUCUCCGAUGCUGCCACAGAAAGACGUGUUUUAUGCCACUUCUUCUUUGUGUCAUUUUGUCCACCAAACGUUUUAUGCUGUGCGUGAACGCACAAAGGUUAGCUUUGUUGAUAUUAUUGACUUGUUGGAGUAUUAAUCAGGCAUAUUUGGUCAGUGCAUGACAGCAAGCUAAUCGAUGUUAACAUGCUAUUUAGGCUAGCUGUAUGUACAUAUUGCAUCGUUAUGCCUUGUUUGUAGCUAUAUUCAAGCUCAUUUAAUUUCCUUAAUGUCCUCUGUGUAUUUAAUUUAUAUUCGCAUGUCUCAUGACACAUUAUCUGUAUGUAACAUUGGCUGCAUUUAUGAUAGUUGUUUGUGUGCCAUGUUGUUCCAGACCACAGCAAACGUUACCCAGCUCGCAAAGAUUGUAAUAAAUCCACUAGAAGAAGACAGCCUGCCGUUUCCUUUAACUUUGACAAACACAUCUAUACCUUUGGUCAUUCUGAGCCACUCAUUUCCAGACGUUAUCUCAUCCUGUGAGAAGCCUCCGCUUUACUAAUGAUUUCCAAUGUUGCAGAAAUGUGUAGAAUAAAAAUUAAAAUACAGCAUUUCUGUCAACAAAGAUUUGUCAGCCUUUGAUAGUAGGCUAAUAUAGCUAACAUCUGUCUUCAUUAUAACACUUAUA